CACGCCAUGUGUAUGUGAUUGUAUCUAGAACACGCUCUACCUCAACUGGCCCAUACCUGACAACAGCAAUGAGGGAAAUCCAUGCGUGGGAAAACAAUCAGAAACGGUCUACACAACCAUUGACUUCAACACCAAGAGGAAGACAAACAUGCAGCAACAGACGGACUCUUAUAGCAAUGAUGAAGGUGCGAUCUACAGCCUGUUGCAGUUUCCAGGGAGCAGCUCUUGAACCCUUCAUACGCUGACAAUGCCUGUGACAGGGAGAGGAAACCCUGUGUGAAAAUAUAAUAUAACAGAUUCUUGAGAGAUGAAGAAAUGUCACCAA